rnacentral:rRNA from 1 species
AGAGUUUGAUCCUGGCUCAGAUUGAACGCUGGCGGAAUGCUUAACACAUGCAAGUCGAGCGGCAGCAUGCCCUUCGGGGUGAUGGCGAGCGGCGGACGGGUGAGUAAUACAUAGGAAUCUGCCCUAGAGUGGGGGAUAGCCCGGGGAAACUCGGAUUAAUACCGCAUAAUCUCUACGGAGCAAAGUGGGGGAUCUUCGGACCUCACGCUUUAGGAUGAGCCUAUGGCCGAUUAGCUUGUUGGUGAGGUAACGGCUCACCAAGGCCACGAUCGGUAGCUGGUUUGAGAGGAUGAUCAGCCACACUGGGACUGAGACACGGCCCAGACUCCUACGGGAGGCAGCAGUGGGGAAUAUUGGACAAUGGGCGAAAGCCUGAUCCAGCCAUGCCGCGUGUGUGAAGAAGGCCCUAGGGUUGUAAAGCACUUUAAGCUGGGAAGAUGGUGCGUGUGACUAAUACUCACAUGUAUAGACGGUACCAGCAGAAUAAGCACCGGCUAACUCCGUGCCAGCCGCCGCGGUAAUAC